GUCCUAAUAGUAUAAAAAUUACUCUGGUUUUGUAAGCCAAAAAUGAAGAAACACUCUUCUCAGGACA
rnacentral:tRNA from 1 species